UGGGGAAUAUUGGACAAUGGGCGCAAGCCUGAUCCAGCCAUGCCGCGUGUUUGAAGAAGGCCUUCGGGUUGUAAAGCACUUUUGUACGGGAAGAAAAGCACUCGGUUAAUACCCGGGUGUCAUGACGGUACCGUAAGAAUAAGCACCGGCUAACUUCGUGCCAGCAGCCGCGGUAAUACGAAGGGUGCAAGCGUUACUCGGAAUUACUGGGCGUAAAGCGUGCGUAGGUGGUUUGUUAAGUCUGAUGUGAAAGCCCUGGGCUCAACCUGGGAAUUGCAUUGGAUACUGGCAGUCUAGAGUGCGGUAGAGGGUAGCGGAAUUCCCGGUGUAGCAGUGAAAUGCGUAGAUAUCGGGAGGAACAUCCGUGGCGAAGGCGGCUACCUGGACCAGCACUGACACUGAGGCACGAAAGCGUGGGGAGCAAACAGG
rnacentral:rRNA from 1 species